rnacentral:rRNA from 1 species
UACGUAGGGUGCGAGCGUUGUCCGGAAUUAUUGGGCGUAAAGGGCUCGUAGGCGGUUUGUCGCGUCGGGAGUGAAAACCUUGGGCUUAACUCAGGGCUUGCUUUCGAUACGGGCAGACUAGAGGUAUACAGGGGAGAGCGGAAUUCCUGGUGUAGCGGUGAAAUGCGCAGAUAUCAGGAGGAACACCGGUGGCGAAGGCGGUUCUCUGGGCAUGAUCUGACGCUGAGGAGCGAAAGUGUGGGGAGCGAACAGG